CUCCUGCCGCUGCUCUGCCUUUCAGAUUGGCUGGCAGGGCCCAGCCGGCGGGCCCCACAGCGUGGCAGCUGCCGGGGGCCGAGUGUGUUGGAGCGUGAGAGGAUCCAGAGGGCUCUGACGCCCAGAUUCCCUGCAGGCCCCUGAAGUUUCCCGGCUAACCCCCUCCCUGCGAUGGGCAGGAGGCCCUCUGGCCAGACACUCCGGGGGACACUGGGAGACCAGCUGCUCACCCAAGCCCAUGCCGCAGAAGGAAGAUGAGGGUAGGGCCAGCUGCACCCCCUGGCACCACGGCCUCAGCCAUGAAAAGCAGGAACUGUGGCCCUUUGGAUGAGAAACUGAGGCCGGAGCUGCUUGUACUGGUGGGUGCUGAUAUGGCCAUGCCCUGACAAGAUGUGGUCCUGGGUAAUACCCUGUGCCAUCUCCAUGGCCUGACUCAGCACUGAGAAAGGCCUAGGGAGCAGGAAAUCAUCCCUCGAGUCUGGAUUUCUCA
rnacentral:lncRNA from 1 species